UUGUCUGUCACUUUUACAACAUUCUGCAGGAGUUUGUUGCAGACAAAUUUACGCAUUGUUCUUAUACAUGUUUAAUAUUAAAAUGAGGUAAAUAAAUAAUAAAACUGAAGAAAAACUGAAAGUUCAUUUUUUGUGGUGCUGCACGGCGGCAUGCUGCGCCUGCGACACAACUGCAUCCGCCCACGUGGACGAUUGCGAGUGAUGAUGAUGGUUGUGGAAAAUCGGAGUGAAGGCAGGUCGUGGCGUUGCUGCUGCAGCCAAAGCGGCCUUCGAUGCAGCUGCUUCCGCUACCACUGUCCCGCUGUAAUCCUUAGCUUGGAACCGUUUUUCGAAAACCUCCACCGUCAGAUGAACAAAUUCUCUGUGAAAAAAAAAUUAUUUACAGAAAAAAUUUGUGAAAUAGUUUUUACAAAUAUGGGUUUCAACAGUUCAAAUUAAUAAAAAAUUAGAUUUUACACACGAGUAACAUACAUUAAAUUUUUUUGUACUACUCAAGAAUACUUAAAAGAAAAUCAAAAAUACUAAAUUAUUUCAUA